UCAAUUUAAAUUUUAGUGUAGCUUUACAGUGUACGCUUCUAUUGUUGCAUUCUGUCAGAGGUAUGGUAAUGUUUCGCGUGUAUAGCAACUAGACUGUCUAUAUACAGUGGUAAAAAUGUGCGAACUGAAUUUUUUAAUGAUUUGAUAGAAUGUGUAGAACAAUAAAGCCAUACAAUCAACGCACAGUGAUGUGACUUUCUCUGCACAUGUUGCAGGUUCAAAAAAGUAUGGCGGAACCUGUUGCCAAGGUUCUCACGGGAAAAGAAAGCCAGUAUAAAAGGGUCCACACCACUUAUCUCUACUACAGGGGAUGGACAGCACAUUGAGCGCCCUCGACUGAAGCCAACCUUGUCCCGGAAGUUGGUGCUUCACAACUUUGCAGCAGCACUUUGUUUGCACGGCCUGUGGAGACAAGGUUUCUUAGACAUGGCCGUGGCCCUCAAGGAAGAUGCCGAGGCCACAGGCAGUUCCUCCAGUGACCGUGAAAAGGUCCCCUGGGGCACAAGUCUAAUUUGGCACCCCUACCUUUCGCCUGCAGCUUUUCUGUCUACUUAGCUAACCAGCAGCAAGUUUAUCCUUGCAAGCAUUUGGGGUCAAGAACAACUUUCACCAGGAAGAAGUGCAAGACGAGUGAUUGAAGAAAAUAAAGUUGCUUCU
rnacentral:lncRNA from 1 species